rnacentral:antisense_RNA from 1 species
UGGCAAGCCAGCUCCCACAGGGAACUCCGGUGUUAUCACCGAUUUUGUGAACACCAUAAAACCCUGUGGGAGCUGGCUUGCCA